rnacentral:rRNA from 1 species
GUGGGGAAUCUUCCGCAAUGGACGAAAGUCUGACGGAGCAACGCCGCGUGAGUGAAGAAGGUUUUCGGAUCGUAAAGCUCUUUCGUUAGGGACGAACGUGCUCUUUGUGAAUAAUGAGGAGUAAUGACGGUACCUAAAUAAGAAGCCACGGCUAACUACGUGCCAGCAGCCGCGGUAAUACGUAGGUGGCAAGCGUUGUCCGGAAUUAUUGGGCGUAAAGCGCGCGCAGGCGGGAUAUCAAGUCUGUCUUAAAAGUGCGAGGCUCAACCUCGUGAGGGGACAGAAACUGGUAUUCUUGAGUGUAGGAGAGGAAAGUGGAAUUCCAAGUGUAGCGGUGAAAUGCGUAGAGAUUUGGAAGAACACCAGUGGCGAAGGCGACUUUCUGGACGAUGUCUGACGCUGAGGCGCGAAAGCUAGGGGAGCGAACGGGAUUAGAAACCCGAGUAGUCC